UUUUAUUGCACAUCUGCAGAGGGGAGCUGAAGGAUGAAGAGGUUAAGUGGAUUGCCCAGUCCGAUCAAAUCUGUGAUCACAGAUCUAAACAUUGGCUUGAUGUUGUCUAAAGGAAGUAUUUGUAAUGGACUUAUGUGUGAGUUUUAUACUAAAUGCUGAAAGCGAAAAUAUUUACACUUAGGUCUGUAAACCCAAAGGCUGUUUAAAACUUACAUUUGGUAUGGCAUCAAUGGCACUCACCUUCUCCAAUUAGCCAGUAUAGAGGUUUAAUUCCAGAAUCACCUGCCAUAUAACUUUUAAAAUAAGUCUUUAUGCAGCACUCACAUGUGUCAGACACAAUUUCAAGUGUUUUCUAAAUAUGAAAUCAUUAAAUCCUCAUAAUGACCACAUCCCUCAUAGUAUACAAACCAAACCACAGAGAAGUCAGGAAACUUGCCUAAGAUCCUCAGGUGAUAAGUGCCAGAGCUGGGAUUUGAAUCCAAAUGGUUCAAUUCCCGAGUUCAG
rnacentral:lncRNA from 1 species